CACAACUUUGUGCAUAGUGUC
rnacentral:misc_RNA from 1 species